GUGGGGAAUAUUGGACAAUGGGGGGAACCCUGAUCCAGCCAUGCCGCGUGUGUGAAGAAGGCCUUUUGGUUGUAAAGCACUUUAAGCGAGGAGGAGGCUACUAGUAUUAAUACUACUGGAUAGUGGACGUUACUCGCAGAAUAAGCACCGGCUAACUCUGUGCCAGCAGCCGCGGUAAUACAGAGGGUGCGAGCGUUAAUCGGAUUUACUGGGCGUAAAGCGUGCGUAGGCGGCUGAUUAAGUCGGAUGUGAAAUCCCUGAGCUUAACUUAGGAAUUGCAUUCGAUACUGGUCAGCUAGAGUAUGGGAGAGGAUGGUAGAAUUCCAGGUGUAGCGGUGAAAUGCGUAGAGAUCUGGAGGAAUACCGAUGGCGAAGGCAGCCAUCUGGCCUAAUACUGACGCUGAGGUACGAAAGCAUGGGGAGCAA
rnacentral:rRNA from 1 species